UCAUGGGCAAGUUUACAACCUUAUCAUUAUAGUAUAUCAAUACAAUAAAAUUUGUAUGAAAGCAGAGAUUGACACAUUAAUUAAAAUGAAUACCCAAUCAAAUUAAAACAAUUAAUACUAAGCACAAUAUUUGGUGACUCACAAUAAUUUUUCUCUUCGCUGCUCGAUGAUGUAUCAAUUUAUUUUGAUUGUUCUCUUGCUAUCAGUCGAUUUCUUAUUCUUCUUGCUAUUAAUCGAUUUCCUCUUCUCUUUAUCCGUCGACCGAUCUCUUAUUUUUUUGUUUGCAUUCAUCAGGGGAGGCAAAUACUCAGAAGAAGAUGCUAAAAAAGUAAUAGUUCAGGGCAUGGUUCAUUGUCACCUCAAACCCUAGGUUCAUAUCCGGAGCCUGGGGAUUUGAAGAUUUCUCAGAGGUUUUUGCACAAAAACUCAAUGAGUCGGGUGGAGGAUGAUCUAAAGGUGUCGAUUGAGGAGGGUUUGAGCUUCGAGAAAUGGAUGUGAACAGGGACCGAAUUCUUUUAGAGUGGCUUUCUCAUCAUCGGAUGGUGGAGUUCAAGUCGAAAUUGAAAUUAAUGAUUCUUUUAGACUGGCUUUCUCAUCAUCGGAUGGUUGGAUUGAACUUCGACUUCGUGAUGUUGAAUUUGACAAAGCACUCUUCGUAUAUGAUCUACAAUGUCUUCCUCUACUUUAGUCAUGUUAUUCAAAAGCAGUACUUUGAUAUUUUAUGGCGAUAAGGAGAAACCGACCAUUACUUACCCUUCAUAGAGAUGCUCCAUCUUUGUUUGAUUUCACCAUUGGUCAAGUGAUUCUGGCUACUGGUUGUUUAUCCUUUCUCCUUAUCAAAGAGGAGGAGAGAUUGGACGUUCUGACGGUGCUGGUGUUGUGAAAACAGUGCUCAUUAAGGAACUAUUCAACAAUGACGCCAAAGCUCAUGGACUUGUGAGAAGAAGAAUAUAAUUGAAAAGAGGAAGAAGUAGAGAAACGAGAAGAGAAGCUUAAUUCAUUGUUGAUCUUUUUCAUUUACUUUUGGUAUGUCUUCAGCUUUCUUUUUCCUAAGAUCUUUCUUCUCAAUUAUUUACUCAUUUUCUUAUGAAUCUUUGUUUGUUUUUGUUGUAUAUUUCAAGUAUUCUUACUUUCUAACAAUGAUUUGUGCUCCUUAGCUUUAUGAGGAGGGACUGUUUAAUUUU